rnacentral:rRNA from 1 species
AACGAACGCUGGCGGCAUGCCUAACACAUGCAAGUCGAACGAGACCUUCGGGUCUAGUGGCGCACGGGUGCAUAACGCGUGGGAACCUGCCCUUAGGUUCGGAAUAACUCCCCGAAAGGGGUUCUAAUACCGGAUAAUGUCUUCGGACCAAAGAUUUAUCGCCUUUGGAUGGGCCCGCGUUGGAUUAGCUAGUUGGUAGGGUAAAAGCCUACCAAGGCGACGAUCCAUAGCUGGUCUGAGAGGAUGAUCAGCCACACUGGGACUGAGACACGGCCCAGACUCCUACGGGAGGCAGCAAUGGGGAAUAUUGGACACUGGGCGAAAGCCUGAUCCCGCAAUGCCGCGUGAGUGAUGAAGGCGUUAGGGUUGUAAAGCUCUUUUACCCGGGAUGAUAAUGACAGUACCGGGAGAAUAAGCUCCGGCUAACUCCGUG